GAUGAACGCUAGCUACAGGCUUAACACAUGCAAGUCGAGGGGUAGCAGGGUAGCAAUACCGCUGACGACCGGCGCACGGGUGAGUAACACGUAUCCAACCUUCCCAUAACUCGGGGAUAGCCUUUCGAAAGAAAGAUUAAUACCCGAUGGUACUUAUAUAAGGCAUCUUAAAUAAGUUAAAGAUUUAUUGGUUAUGGAUGGGGAUGCGUUCCAUUAGAUAGUUGGUGAGGUAACGGCUCACCAAGUCUUCGAUGGAUAGGGGUUCUGAGAGGAAGGUCCCCCACAUUGGUACUGAGACACGGACCAAACUCCUACGGGAGGCAGCAGUGAGGAAUAUUGGUCAAUGGGCGAGAGCCUGAACCAGCCAAGUAGCGUGAAGGAUGAAGGUCCUAUGGAUUGUAAACUUCUUUUAUAGUAGAAUAAAGUGACCCACGUGUGGGUUUUUGUAUGUAUACUAUGAAUAAGGAUCGGCUAACUCCGUG
rnacentral:rRNA from 1 species